UACAGCUAUAGGACAGUGCUGCUGCUUCCGGGAGCUGCUUGAGUUGCAACUGUCUGAGGAACCAAUGGGAGGGGAGAGAAGACAGUGAAUAGAAAGCAAGAGGAAGACUGAGAAAAGCUGUGACACUGAAAAUGUCAGAAAUUUAAGAAGAGGAAGAAGCGAUUAGAACUGAAAGCUAAGUGAAGAUGACUCAGAUUUCUGCACCAACACGGCAUCUGCAUUCUUGAGUGAAUAGGAAGCAGUCAUCUGACAGACUACUUGGUGAGCCAAAUCAUGACUCAGCAAGCACUCACUGAAGUUAGUGAGAGUGCCGCCUGAACAACCUCUGCAGGUGUACACCCAACAGCUCUAUGGCAGGACUGCAAGCUCCCGCUCACACAACCAGUAUGUGGUGAAGAUCGCACUUGGUGCUGGUGUUCUGUGGAAUUAGAUUGGUUUUGCCUUAGUACAGAGGUGCACAGCAGUACUGAUGAAAGCUGAUGAAUUAAUAGCCCUGCAGACCAAUCUCUUCUGUUUAGCCAGACAACAGGUAGAGCACAAGCAAUGCCAAGGCAAGCUUUCACCUUACCAUCUGGCUAUCAAGCUUCAACCCUCACCGGCGGGAACCAACUUUAGGGGCACUGGCAUACCUUGGAGAUGCCAGAAGCUGCAUUGGUGAAGAAGAUGGUUGACACUGAAGUCCCAUGGUGUUUCCUGAUCUCUCCACUUGGAGUCAUGUGUGUGUUAAAGAAGAGUGACAAUAUUGAACUCUGAAGGCCUUCACACAGUAAGGCGGACACAUGCUCAUCGUGAUUGCCUGUGUAUGAGGUCAGACUGAAACCAGAAUAGUGCUGUUCAACCCAUUCCCCCAGCAAAAGCUUUGAGCUAAAAUAUCAAAGGGGCUGAAAGAUGGAGCAGCAGAAGCAUGGAGAUUUGACCUUUGUCCAUGGCAAGAAAUACGUUUUGAACAGGUUGCUGCAGUGGUGUGUACCAGUUCAUUUGGUGCAUUUUAAUGUGGGAUGUGUUUAGUUCAAGUCUUUGCUAAAAUGUUAUCUGUGGCUGCAGUAACAUUAGAAGAUCCUUA